UACGUAGGGGGCGAGCGUUGUCCGGAUUUAUUGGGCGUAAAGAGCGUGUAGGCGGCUUUAUAGGUCUGUUGUGAAAACUCGAGGCUCAACCUCGAGACGCCGGUGGAAACCGUAAGGCUAGAGUCCGGAAGAGGAGAGUGGAAUUCCUGGUGUAGCGGUGAAAUGCGCAGAUAUCAGGAAGAACACCCGUGGCGAAGGCGGCUCUCUGGGACGGUACUGACGCUGAGACGCGAAAGCGUGGGGAGCGAACAGG
rnacentral:rRNA from 1 species